rnacentral:tRNA from 4 species
GGGGCGAUAGCUCAGCGGAAGAGCGCACCCUUCGCAUGGGUGAGGUCGGGGGUUCAAAUCCCCCUCGCUCCACCA